GAUGAACGCUGGCGGCGUGCCUAAUAAAUGCAAGUCGAGCGAACAGACGAGGAGCUUGCUCCUCUGACGUUAGCGGCGGACGGGUGAGUAACACGUGGAUAACCUACCUAUAAGACUGGGAUAACUUCGGGAAACCGGAGCUAAUACCGGAUAAUAUAUUGAACCGCAUGGUUCAAUAGUGAAAGACGGUUUUGCUGUCACUUAUAGAUGGAUCCGCGCCGCAUUAGCUAGUUGGUAAGGUAACGGCUUACCAAGGCAACGAUGCGUAGCCGACCUGAGAGGGUGAUCGGCCACACUGGAACUGAGACACGGUCCAGACUCCUACGGGAGGCAGCAGUAGGGAAUCUUCCGCAAUGGGCGAAAGCUUGACGGAGCAACGCCGCGUGAGUGAUGAAGGUCUUCGGAUCGUAAAACUCUGUUAUUAGGGAAGAACAAAUGUGUAAGUAACUAUGCACGUCUUGACGGUACCUAAUCAGAAAGCCACGGCUAACUACGUG
rnacentral:rRNA from 1 species